CCGAGUCAGGGUCUUUCAGGCCCGAAACUCCAACCCUAUGUCUAUCUACCAUGUUGCUUUGGCGGGCCCGCCUUAACUGGCCGCUGGAGAUUUAUAUCUCUCGCCAGUGCCCGUCAGUAGCCCUCACAAAUUCUUUAUAACAGUGAUGUCUGAGUACAAAUAUAAUCGUUA
rnacentral:misc_RNA from 1 species